AUGCGGAUGUUGUCCUUGGUCGGCUGCCUGCACGGGUUCCUCUCCUCGUCUGCAGAGUAUACACUAUACAAUAAGUAUGAUUCAAUAAACAAGAAAAGAUGUUGGAUUUGUUCGUGUUUACGAACCUGUGAGGAUGAGAACGCAGUCGUUGGGGAAGCCGAAGCGCUCGGUGAGCAGGUACCGCAUGCACUUGACGUCGUUGAUGGGGCCCCGCAGCUCGCAGGAGCGCCGGUUGGUGUACUUGAUCCCGAUCAGCACGGCGCGCUUCUUGCCGCGGCCGCCGCCGAAGGCCGGGGUGGGACGCAUCGGCGGCAUCAGCAUCCCGCCGCCGUUACCGCCGUAACCCUGGCCGUAUCCGUGCUGCUGCCGGCCACGGCCGCUGACGCGCGUCACGCAGCUGCACUGCAUGCACUGCACGGCGCGGGCGCCGGGCAUCGCCGUGAUGCUCGAGCUGCACUGCCUGCACCGCACCAUCGCGCCAGGACCCAUGGAGCCGUAGUUCAUGUUCAUGGCUGGCUACCUGGGUUAGCUUAG
rnacentral:rRNA from 1 species